rnacentral:rRNA from 1 species
CCUACGGGGGGCAGCAGUGGGGAAUAUUGCGCAAUGGGCGAAAGCCUGACGCAGCGACGCCGCGUGAGGGAUGAAGGUCUUCGGAUCGUAAACCUCUGUCAGCAGGGAAGAACGGACACUGUGCUAAUCAGCAGUGAAUUGACGGUACCUGCAAAGGAAGCACCGGCUAAAUCCGUGCCAGCCGCCGCGGUAAUACGGAGGGUGCGAGCGUUAAUCGGAAUUACUGGGCGUAAGGCGCUCGUAGGCGGUAUGUCAAGUCAAGGGUGAAAUCCCCGCGCUCAACGUGGGAACUGCCUUUGAAACUGGCAAACUGGAGUGUGUGAGAGGAUAGUGGAAUUCCAGGUGUAGGAGUGAAAUCCGUAGAUAUCUGGAGGAACAUCAGUGGCGAAGGCGACUAUCUGGCACAUAACUGACGCUGAGGAGCGAAAGCGUGGGUAGCAAACAGGAUUAGAUACCCCUGUAGUC